rnacentral:rRNA from 1 species
CCUACGGGGGGCUGCAGUGAGGGAUAUUGGUCAAUGGGGGAAACCCUGAACCAGCAACGCCGCGUGAGGGAAGACGGUUUUCGGAUUGUAAACCUCUGUCCUCUGUGAAGAUGAUGACGGUAGCAGAGGAGGAAGCUCCGGCUAACUACGUGCCAGCAGCCGCGGUAAUACGUAGGGAGCAAGCGUUGUCCGGAUUUACUGGGUGUAAAGGGGGCGUAGACGGCAGCGCAAGUCUGGAGUGAAAUGCCGGGGCCCAACCCCGGAACUGCUCUGGAAACUGUGAAGCUGGAGUGCAGGAGAGGUAAGCGGAAUUCCUGGUGUAGCGGUGAAAUGCGUAGAUAUCAGGAGGAACACCGGCGGCGAAGGCGGCUUACUGGACUGUAACUGACGUUGAGGCUCGAAGGCGUGGGGAGCAAACAGGAUUAGAUACCCUAGUAGUC